GGCUGCGAUCAUACCAGCACUAAUGCACCGGAUCCCUGAGUAGUACUAGGAUGGGUGACCUCCUGGGAAGUCCUCGUGUUGCACCCC
rnacentral:rRNA from 1 species